GACGAACGCUGGCGGCGUGCUUAACACAUGCAAGUCGAACGGAAAGGCCCUGCUUGCAGGGUGCUCGAGUGGCGAACGGGUGAGUAACACGUGGGUGAUCUGCCCCUUACUUUGGGAUAAGCCUUGGAAACUGGGUCUAAUACUGGAUAGGACCAUGCUGUAGGUGGUGUGGUGGAAAGAUUAGUUUCGGUGAGGGAUGAGCUCGCGGCCUAUCAGCUUGUUGGUGGGGUAAUGGCCUACCAAGGCGUCGACGGGUAGCCGGCCUGAGAGGGUGGACGGCCGCAUUGGGACUGAGAUACGGCCCAGACGCCUACGGGAGGCAGCAGUGGGGAGUAUUGCACAAUGGGCGCAAGCCGGAUGCAGCGACGCCGCGGGGGGGAUGACGGCCUUCGGGUUGUAGUCUCCUUUCAGCCAUGACGAAGCCCUUGUGGUGACGGUAGUGGUAGAAGAAGCACCGGCUAACUACGUG
rnacentral:rRNA from 1 species